rnacentral:rRNA from 1 species
CAGUCUCAGCAUGCUAGACGGAGUUUGAUCAUGGCUCAGAGCGAACGCUAGCGGCGGGCUUAACACAUGCAAGUCGAGCGGAGAGCUUCGGCUCUCAGCGGCGAACGGGUGAGUAACACGUAGGUCACGUACCCUUUGAUGGGGAAUAACCUAGGGAAACCUGGGCUAAUACCGCAUAUGUCCUUCGGGAUGAAAGCCUUCGGGCGUCAGAGGAUCGGCCUGCGGCCCAUUAUUUAAUCCUAGUUGGUAGGGUAAUGGCCUACCAAGGGUACGAUGGGUAGCUGGUCUGAGAGGAUGAUCAGCCACACUGGAACUGAGACACGGUUCAGACUCCUACGGGAGGCAGCAGUGGGGAAUAUUGGACAAUGGGCGAAAGCCUGAUCCAGCCACGCCGCGUGGGUGAUGAAGGCCUUCGGGUUGUAAAGCCCUGUUGGGAGGGACGAAUCAAUGACGGUACCUCCCAAGAAAGCACCGGCUAACUCCGUG